AGCGAACGCUGGCGGCAGGCUUAACACAUGCAAGUCGAGCGGGCGUAGCAAUACGUCAGCGGCAGACGGGUGAGUAACGCGUGGGAACGUACCUUUUGGUUCGGAACAACACAGGGAAACUUGUGCUAAAUACCGGAUAAGCCCCUUACGGGGAAAGAUUUAUCGCCGAAAGAUCGGCCCGCGUCUGAUUAGCUAGUUGGUGAGGUAACGGCUCACCAAGGCGACGAUCAGUAGCUGGUCUGAGAGGAUGAUCAGCCACAUUGGGACUGAGACACGGCCCAAACUCCUACGGGAGGCAGCAGUGGGGAAUAUUGGACAAUGGGCGCGAAGCCUGAUCCAGCCAUGCCGCGUGAGU
rnacentral:rRNA from 1 species